rnacentral:rRNA from 1 species
UACGUAGGGGGCAAGCGUUGUCCGGAUUUAUUGGGCGUAAAGAGCGUGUAGGCGGCCAUGUAGGUCCGUUGUGAAAACUCGAGGCUCAACCUCGAGACGCCGAUGGAAACCAUGAGGCUCGAGUCCGGAAGAGGAGAGUGGAAUUCCCGGUGUAGCGGUGAAAUGCGCAGAUAUCGGGAAGAACACCCGUGGCGAAGGCGGCUCUCUAGUACGGUACUGACGCUGAGACGCGAAAGCGUGGGGAGCGAACAGG